rnacentral:rRNA from 1 species
UACGUAGGGGGCAAGCGUUGUCCGGAUUUAUUGGGCGUAAAGAGCGUGUAGGCGGCCUUACAGGUCAGCUGUGAAAACUCGAGGCUCAACCUCGAGACGUCGGUUGAAACCGUAUGGCUAGAGUCCGGAAGAGGAGAGUGGAAUUCCCGGUGUAGCGGUGAAAUGCGCAGAUAUCGGGAAGAACACCCGUGGCGAAGGCGGCUCUCUGGGACGGUACUGACGCUGAGACGCGAAAGCGUGGGGAGCGAACGAGG